UGGCGAACGGGUGAGUAAUAUAUCGGAACGUACCCAGAAGUGGGGGAUAACGUAGCGAAAGUUACGCUAAUACCGCAUACGAUCUACGGAUGAAAGUGGGGGACCUUCGGGCCUCAUGCUUUUGGAGCGGCCGAUAUCUGAUUAGCUAGUUGGUAGGGUAAAGGCCUACCAAGGCGACGAUCAGUAGCUGGUCUGAGAGGACGACCAGCCACACUGGAACUGAGACACGGUCCAGACUCCUACGGGAGGCAGCAGUGGGGAAUUUUGGACAAUGGGCGCAAGCCUGAUCCAGCAAUGCCGCGUGAGUGAAGAAGGCCUUCGGGUUGUAAAGCUCUUUUGUCAGGGAAGAAACGGGAUUGGAUAAUACCUAGUCCUAAUGACGGUACCUGAAGAAUAAGCACCGGCUAACUACGUGCCAGCAGCCGCGGUAAUACGUAGGGUGCAAGCGUUAAUCGGAAUUACUGGGCGUAAAGCGUGCGCAGGCGGUUUUGUAAGUCUGUCGUGAAAGCCCCGGGCUCAACCUGGGAAUUGCGAUGGAGACUGCAAGGCUUGAAUCUGGCAGAGGGGGGUAGAAUUCCACGUGUAGCAGUGAAAUGCGUAGAGAUGUGGAGGAACACCGAUGGCGAAGGCAGCCCCCUGGGUCAAGAUUGACGCUCAUGCACGAAAGCGUGGGGAGCAACAGGAUUAGAUACCCUGGUAGUCCACGCCCUAAACGAUGUCUACUAGCCGUUGGGGUCCUUGAGACUUUAGUGGCGCAGUUAACGCGAUAAGUAGACCGCCUGGGGAGUACGGCCGCAAGGUUAAAACUCAAAUGAAUUGACGGGGGCCCGCACAAGCGGUGGAGCAUGUGGUUUAAU
rnacentral:rRNA from 1 species